GGCUCAGGAUGAACGCUAGCGGCAGGCUUAAUACAUGCAAGUCGUGGGGCAGCAGGUUUGUAGCAAUACAGAUGCUGGCGACCGGCAAACGGGUGCGGAACACGUACAGAGCCUUCCUUUGAGCGGGGAAUAGCCCAGAGAAAUUUGGAUUAAUACCCCAUAGUAUAAUGAAGUGGCAUCACUUUAUUAUUAAAGAUUUAUCACUCGAAGAUGGCUGUGCGGCUGAUUAGGUAGUUGGCGGGGUAAAGGCCCACCAAGCCUGCGAUCAGUAACUGGUGUGAGAGCACGACCAGUCACACGGGCACUGAGACACGGGCCCGACUCCUACGGGAGGCAGCAGUAAGGAAUAUUGGUCAAUGGAGGCAACUCUGAACCAGCCAUGCCGCGUGGAGGAUGAAGGUCCUCUGGAUUGUAAACUUCUUUUAUAUGGGACGAAAAAAGGCUUUUCUAAGUCGUCUGACGGUACCAUAUGAAUAAGCACCGGCUAACUCCGUG
rnacentral:rRNA from 1 species